CAGCAGCCACGGUAAUACGUAGGUGGCAAGCGUUGUCCGGAAUUAUUGGGCGUAAAGGGCUCGCAGGCGGUUUCUUAAGUCUGAUGUGAAAGCCCCCUGCUCAACCGGGGAGGGUCAUUGGAAACUGGGAAACUUGAGUGCAGAAGAGGAGAGUGGAAUUCCACGUGUAGCGGUGAAGUGCGUAGAGAUGUGGAGGAACACCAGUGGCGAAGGCGACUCUCUGGUCUGUAACUGACGCUGAGGAGCGAAAGCGUGGGGAGCGAACAGGAUUAGAGACCCCUGUAGUCCCUGUCUCUUAUAC
rnacentral:rRNA from 1 species